AGAGUUUGAUCCUGGCUCAGAUUGAACGCUGGCGGCAUGCCUUACACAUGCAAGUCGAACGGUAACAGGUCUUCGGAUGCUGACGAGUGGCGAACGGGUGAGUAAUACAUCGGAACGUGCCCGAUCGUGGGGGAUAACGGAGCGAAAGCUUUGCUAAUACCGCAUACGAUCUACGGAUGAAAGCAGGGGACCGCAAGGCCUUGCGCGGACGGAGCGGCCGAUGGCAGAUUAGGUAGUUGGUGGGAUAAAAGCUUACCAAGCCGACGAUCUGUAGCUGGUCUGAGAGGACGACCAGCCACACUGGGACUGAGACACGGCCCAGACUCCUACGGGAGGCAGCAGUGGGGAAUUUUGGACAAUGGGCGAAAGCCUGAUCCAGCCAUGCCGCGUGCAGGAUGAAGGCCUUCGGGUUGUAAACUGCUUUUGUACGGAACGAAAAGACUCCUUCUAAUAAAGGGGGUCCAUGACGGUACCGUAAGAAUAAGCACCGGCUAACUACGUGCCAGCAGCCGCGGUAAUACGUAGGGUGCAAGCGUUAAUCGGAAUUACUGGGCGUAAAGCGUGCGC
rnacentral:rRNA from 1 species